rnacentral:lncRNA from 1 species
GCCUUUACUGCUAACACUUUACAGACGAGGAAACCGAGGCUUAUAAUGGGAAGUAGCUUGAUGAGAGAUUUUGGGGCCCUCAUGCAGAAUUCUUUGUGCCUUAUUCUCCAGCAAUGGAACUUCGGCAUCUAGAGAUUUCAAGAUUACAUUUGGGAGGCAAGUCCCUAGGACUUGAGACAAGCUGCAGCAUUCACCUGCAAGUGUGGCUUGCAAAUCAGCAGACUUUGGAGCCAUUGGAAAAGGCUACUUCCAGCUACAAAGUGAAAAGAUAUAAGCAGCGUGUGCUGUAGACUGAGGUAGUAUCUUCGAGUUCUGUCAUUGGCACCUAUCAGUGGCUGAGAUAUCCUGGGUUGAAGUCUGCAAGGUCCAGCAUAAUGUAUUAUGCAUGAAAAGACAUCUCCUGUUACUUCAUUUUUGUAAAAGAUUACCUCAAUACUCCUUAAGGGCUGGAUGACAGUGUGUGAAGUGGCUGAAACUUACAUCAAAUGCUUUAAUAACAGGUCAGCAAAAAGGCCAAUGGGCUUAACUUUUACAUUCCAACUGGCACAGCUACAGGAGUGGGCUAUUUGCCAAAGACAUCGAACCAAGCCUCGGAGAAGUAGAAACAGCUCAACCAGGUUCAUUCAGCAGAGAAUCGUGGUUAAAAUAUAUUAAGCCUGGAUUCCUCAAAUUCUGUUGGUAAAGUUAAUCGGGAUAGGGUAACACUUGGCAUCCUUAUGCUAUGACUGGAUCUCUCAUGGGAAUGAGAUCUUAGCUUUAAUUUUUAGAAUUUAAUUAAAGCUUCACAAGUAUAAAUAUAAAA